rnacentral:rRNA from 1 species
AGCGAACGCUGGCGGCAGGCCUAACACAUGCAAGUCGAACGAAGUCUUCGGACUUAGUGGCGGACGGGUGAGUAACACGUGGGAACGUACCUUUUGGUUCGGAAUAACGCAGGGAAACUUGCGCUAAUACCGAAUGUGCCCUUAGGUGGAAAGAUUUAUCGCCAUUAGAGCGGCCCGCGUUGGAUUAGGUAGUUGGUGUGGUAAAGGCGCACCAAGCCUACGAUCCAUAGCUGGUCUGAGAGGAUGAUCAGCCACACUGGGACUGAGACACGGCCCAGACUCCUACGGGAGGCAGCAGUGGGGAAUCUUGCGCAAUGGUCGAAAGACUGACGCAGCCAUGCCGCGUGAAUGAUGAAGGUCUUAGGAUUGUAAAAUUCUUUUAGCAGGGACGAUAAUGACGGUACCUGCAGAAAAAGCCCCGGCUAACUUCGUGCCAGCCGCCGCGGUAAUAC